UAGCCCUUUAGCCAAGUGGUUUAAGGCUUCACUCUUUGAAAGUGAGAUCGUAGGUUCGAUUCCUACAAGGGCUAU
rnacentral:tRNA from 1 species